rnacentral:rRNA from 1 species
UACGGGGGGAGCAAGCGUUGUUCGGAUUUACUGGGCGUAAAGGGCGCGUAGGCGGCCACCGCAAGUCGACUGUGAAAUCUCCGGGCUUAACCCGGGAAGGUCAGCCGAUACUGCGGGGCUAGAGUGCAGAAGGGGCAACUGGAAUUCUCGGUGUAGCGGUGAAAUGCGUAGAUAUCGAGAGGAACACCUGCGGCGAAGGCGGGUUGCUGGGCUGACACUGACGCUGAGGCGCGAAAGCUAGGGGAGCGAACGGG